rnacentral:lncRNA from 1 species
CUCAUUACGGAAUCUAGCCUCACUUGGCCUCAGUUCCUUCAUCUGCAAAAUAGGGAUUGCAGACUUCACCUUUUAAUCUGUGUAUGAAAUUGCAGGCAAAGAUGGUGUAGAAGGGGGAAAAACAAUUGAGGAAGUCUAGUUGGCGAAGCAGGACUACUUAGCAAGAGUAUGGUCUGAGCCCAAGGAAACCAUCUACAACCAAGUGUUCAGGAGAGUAAGUUAAGAAGGGAAGUGGCAGAAGGAUCAUGAGUUCCUUGCUUGCAGAGUAAGUGGGGAGAUGAGAAGGAGGAAGCAAUGCUUUUGUGAGUGUCCACCAGAUUGUAGGGACAUACGAAGAGAAAAGACUGGAACCAAAUGGAUUUGAAAAAAAGGAUUAUGAUACUGAAAAGAUUGGUCCAUCCCAGCAUCUCCCAAAGCAAGUAUAUGGAUAUCUGUGUAAGAUUUACCUGAGGAACUUAUGAAAUAAAGGUUCCUAAGCUCCACUAAUGGAGGCCCACUCAGUGGGUCUGGAGCUGAGGAUAACGAAUGCAGUGUGUCUUCCUUCCCCAUCAGUACACUGAAACCGCCCUUCCCAAGGUCACCAACGAUCUCCAGACAGCUUAAUUUACUUUCCAAAUAUGUCUGAAACUGAUCAUCUGUGCUUAAUUCCUACAACCACUGACUGAGUACAAGUUGUCAUCAUUCAUCUUCUGGACUAUAACAAUAGACUCAUAAUACUUUCCCCAUUUGUAACCUUCCAAUCUGACUUUCACACAGCCAUAGCAUAAUUGAUAUGGAAUUCAAAUUAAAUCACAUCACUGUCAUAGUUAAAAUUUUUCAGUUCCUAAUGCCAACAGCAUAAAAUCAUCAAAGCUUCUUGGGAUGUCAUACAAGGCCCUGUGUAGCCCAGCUUCUCCAGGUUAUGUGUUGUUAUUCUUUUACCUGGCUGUGUAGCAUACCCCCUAGACACCCACCACGCUGUUUCAUUGCCUUUGUUCACGUUGUUAUUGUUCUUCACCCCACUAUUAUUAUCUUGAAUUUGGGUCUCCUUUCCUCUGGGAUACCCCAACUGCCUCCCACUUCCUCAUGUCUCCUAGGUUUCUUGUCCCUCUUCUGGGUAUACAUAAUUCUCUGAGCAUUUCUCUCAUGUUAUACUUACCACAUUGUGUUAAAUUAUCUUAUUUGCUUCUAUCACUAAAUUGUGAGCCUCUCGAGGGCAGGGUCUCUUUUAUUUGUUUAUCUUCACUUCUAGCAUAUGGUAAUUUCUGAAUAAUUAUUCAAUGCAUUAAUCUACAAAUAUAAUGGAGAGCUUUCAGCCUUUUUCAUACCUGAUUUAUCUGCAACAUGUGAUGCCUUUUAUUGAACAUCCACUGUGUGCCAGGCACUGUCUUAAGCACCAGAAAGACAGUAAUAAGUGAAAAAGCACAUUCCUUGUCAUUUUGGAGCUUGCAGUCUAAUGAAGAGGCAUAUAAUAAACAAAUAAAAAUGUAUAAUUAUAAAUCAGUAUGGAUGCCAUGACAGGAAUGAUCAGGAUAGUGAUAGAACAUGACAGAGAGUGACAUAUUUAUCAGUUGGUCAGGGAAGCCAGUCUGAUCAGAUGACAUUUCAGCUGAAGGACAAGGAAUCAGUCAUAAGAAGAGCCAGGAAAAAGCAUUCCUUGCAGAAGGAACAGUAUGUGCUAAGACUUCGAGGGGUCACAGAAGUCUGUGUGUUGGAGGAACUUAAGGUAAGUCAGUGUCUCCAGAGCUCAGUCGAGAGGGAGAAAUAUAGCAAGGAAAGAUAGCAGAGGGAAGUUCAGGUAGGCUCUGUUGUUGCCAAAAAUAGAUUUUAUCCAGAGUGCUAUGGUAAGUGACUGAAGGAAGGAUUUUAAUCAGGUUAGUUAUGUAAUCUGAUUUACAUUAGAGAAAGAUUACUCUAGGUCAGUGCUUUUCAAGACAAUAGU